rnacentral:rRNA from 1 species
GAUGAACGCUGGCGGCGUGCUUAACACAUGCAAGUCGAACGGAAAGGCCCAAGCUUGCUUGGGUACUCGAGUGGCGAACGGGUGAGUAACACGUGGGUGAUCUGCCCUGCACUUCGGGAUAAGCCUGGGAAACUGGGUCUAAUACCGGAUAGGACGAUGGUUUGGAUGCCAUUGUGGAAAGUUUUUUCGGUGUGGGAUGAGCUCGCGGCCUAUCAGCUUGUUGGUGGGGUAAUGGCCUACCAAGGCGUCGACGGGUAGCCGGCCUGAGAGGGUGUACGGCCACAUUGGGACGGAGAUACGGCCCAGACUCCUACGGGAGGCAGCAGUGGGGAAUAUUGCACAAUGGGCGCAAGCCUGAUGCAGCGACGCCGCGUGGGGGAUGACGGCCUUCGGGUUGUAAACUCCUUUCGCUAGGGACGAAGCGUUUUUGUGAUGGUACCUGGAGAAGAAGCACCGGCUAACUACGUG